rnacentral:snRNA from 1 species
GUGCUUGUUUUGACAGCACAUAUGCUAAAAUUGGAAUGAUACAGAGAAUAUUAGUGUGGCCCUUCCACAAGGAUGACUCACAAAGUGGUUAAGCAUUCCAUAUUUUU